GCUGGAGGAAGAGACACAGACGAGUCAGAAAUAGAGACUUUAAUUAUUGAAGCUUUGGUAUCUGUUAUGCUGCAGAGAACCACAACACACUCGUACAGGUGUCAGGCUGUGUUACUGCUUGUCAUACAAUACCUGGUAUUGUAAGAGCCACCUACACAUCUUAAUAAAGCUACACUAAGAGCCUACAUGAAGGAGAUUUAUCAGGAGUUACCCUGUCACUGAGAUCUGGUCCCUCGAUGGAGGCCUCUUCGAUCUCCUCACUGAUGCUCAGCUCAGUCUUUGAGUUGUGACUGUGGAAGAAUUGGAGGGAUAAUGCAUUGACAUGGUGAUGAAUUGGACAGUGAUGUCAACCCUCUGCCGCUGACAUGUCCCGAGCCGUCACACCCAGGUGUUGGGCAUGACAUUCCAUCGUUUUUUCCAGACUUCCAUGGAAAUGGAGCACCGUUCACAAAGCCAUCCUUCUGGCGCUUGGCCGCAAGUGGGCAGCCGGAUGCACUGCGAUGAGACGCGUACUUCCCAGUCACAUGACCCUGACCAUCACAACCAGGCACAGGACACCUGCAAUACAAUAAUGUACACAUGCUAACGUUGAUCUUUUAUUACAAACUGCAAAGAAGAUAUUCUUGACAUACACUUAAUUAAAAACCUACUU